GGAUUACAGAAUUAUAGAAAUCAAACCAAACAAAAGUGUGUUGAUCAUCAACAAGGUUGUAAUUAUUUUAGUGGUCUCUUUGUAAAAGCCCCUUCCUUCCCCUGUGAACUAGGGCUAGCAGCCCCUCUUCUUCUUAUGGAGCAAGCUGGUGGUGGUUGUAAGGAGGCAAUGAGGGGGCUGUAAGGGGGCAGUGAGAGGGGACUGGGGUAGCUCUUUUUAUUAAAAGCCUGAGUUCACCACCUCAAUUUUGGGGAGAAAAGAAAACAGCACAUUCCUGUCAUCAGCUCUGAGUGGAGCAGCAGGUGCAGGAAUUUGUUUUGAUUGCUUUAGCCGGGAAUGCAUUAAUCUGAAGAGAUGCAAGACCUGCCUCUCUAUUUGCAGUGGCCAUGGAGUCAAGUCUAAAAGUCACAUGACUUCAGUCUACCAGUCAGAGUGCCCAUGCUGACCCCUGUUCACCACCGAAAGCACCUACAAUGGGGACGUGAGCAUCAGAACUGGACCAUGGAGCAACGGAUGAAGGUUUUCUUUUACAAUUUGUGGAUAGCCUGGUGCGUGUACAUCACUUACCUGGGGAAGAGAUGGCACCAGGAUGCACUAUGGGAAGAAGGCAAGAUCUCAAUCCGAUCAAGCAUCUGUGGUACGUGCUGGAAAACAAAUCGGAUCCAUGGAAGCCCCACCUCUCAACUUACAGGACUUGAAGGAUCUGCUGCUAACGUCAUUUGUGCCAUAUACCACAGCACACCCUCAGAGGUCUUGUGGAGUCCAUGCCUUGACAGGUCAGAGCUGUUUUGGUGGCACAAGUGAGACCUCCACAAUAUUAGGCAGGUGGUUUUAAUGUUAUGGCUGAUCUGUGUAUAUAUGGGGGAAAAAAUGUUAAAAAAAAUAAUAUAUCUAUCUAUCUAUCUAUCUAUCUGUCUAUCUAUCUAUCUAUCUAUCUAUCUAUCUAUCUAUCUAUCUAUAUAUAU
ensembl:lncRNA